CCAGGCUGCAAAGUCCAAAAGGGAGAAGGUAAUCUACACGCGCUUUAUCCAAACCUGUGACUGAGUGCCAAAAAGGAAGGAGCCUUAGAGAGCGAGCCCCAUAGGAUAUUGUCAUCUGGGGAGAUUGAGGCAGGUAGGCGCAGAGCCUGAGUGAGGAAAACCCAGGUCCCGCAGCUCCCAGUCCUUUUCCACUGCACCCCACUGGACCGCCAGCUGCUUCUUAGGACCUGGCUAAUGAAGCAGAACGUGGCACCACUCCUGUCCUGGACGUUACCCACCUUCUCACUCUAGAUGGUAGAGAAGACCGUGGAUCACCUGGGGACACAGGUGAAAGGCCUGCUGGGCCUGCUAGAGGACCUGGCCUGGAACCUGCCCGGGGGACCCUUCAGCCCCGUCCCCGACCUCCUCGGAAAAGAUGGCUUCUGAGCCCCGG
rnacentral:lncRNA from 1 species